rnacentral:lncRNA from 1 species
UUAGCAACGUCAUGCUAUUAUUUUAGAUCAGUACAAUGUUCUGAACAAAGUAACAUGAAGGGUUAUAAAAAGUCACAUUGACUCUAAGGUGGAGCUAAAACAUAUUGACCUUCAGCAGUGACGUCAUAAAAUAGUAUGUUGUCAUAAAAUUCUCAAUUGAGGUUUAAGGCUGUAAUAAUAUACUAACCGCUGCAAACAAUUGCAAUCCUUUCCGACGCCCUGGGCUAAUAACUAUGGCGAGCUAGAACGCUGACCAGUCCAUGUUUACAAAAAAUAUCAGAUUAAAAUUCAAACACUUAAUGACUCAUAACUUAUGAUGAAAACUUCUUUAGUCUUGAAAACAGAUCAAGGGCAAACAUAUUUAUAACCGAAAAAAAAACUGGACUUUCCAAGUAAUGACAAUAUUGUCCGACAUAGGGCUGAUGUAUCAUUUGAAAUUAAAUUAUUGAUACACGUACUUGCAAUCAUGGUACUCUUACAUAAAUAGCUCUAGUCAUUUGAAAUCAAUAUAAUAUAUAUGUAAAAUAGAGUUCCACUAAAGCUUGCGCUAGGAGCGUGAGGAACAGACUCCGUCAAAUGGAUUCUGCCAGAUUUUUGCUUUGUUGCUUGCUGUUAUUCAAACUUAUCUUCUGAUAUAUUUUAUCGUAUCAAAUUGCUGAAUCCUGUCCUUCAGACUCAAAUGCAAUACGUUUGGUAGAUAAAUAUUCUUUUAUGAUCUUCCUGAUUAGACUGCGUUUGAUUGAAGGUGUCUUUUAUAAGGGUUUUAAUGGGGUGUGUGUAUCUUGAAUAUAUUAACGAUUUGCAUUUGUGUUCGAACGCGCAAAUUAAGCUGUUUAACAUAACAAUGUAAUUGUGCAUACGUUUUGUAAAGAAACAAUCAAAUGCUUGUGUCACAGGUCAUAUAAAACUUGACUCUCCAAACACAUGAUAUUGACAUAGGUCGGUCAUGACAAACUCUGCCUAUUCAUACACACAUAUUUACUUAUUUUAAUUAGUAAGGUAUUACGUUCCGUCACAUUACAAAUAUAUAUGCAUAAAGUUCCUGUCUACUCGCUACUGAUACUUACGCAUUGUAGAUCUAAAUAACUUUCAAAAUUCUAUCUUAUAAAGUGUUAUUUGAAACAUAGUCAGUGAACGAUAGAUGGGGAAAUCAGAAGCCUACGGAAGCCUAUUAGGGACAUUUUGUCUUAGUUUUUAUGCAUUACCUCUUAUGUAUCCAUACUAAACAUAUUUUCCAUUAGCAUGCUUUCUUUUUUGCAAACCUCUAUGUAGUUUGAGAAAACAUAAACUUGAAUUUACGACAUUAUUGGCGUUUUCUAUCUUCCGUGCGGUGGUUCGAUAUGACACAAACGAUACGACACGUGAUGAUUUGAUUCCACGGUAUGACGGUAACUUUUAAUGGAUCGUUAGCGCUAAAAUUCACCUUUUGUUUAUGCAAUUAUUAAUGGAUCAGUUAAGUCACACUUGUAACAAGGCUCUUUAUCUUAAUAUAAAAAAGGUAAAAAUCAUCUGAAGAAUUUAGAAAAUAAAAUUUCAUAAAAUCGUUACACGCUUCAUAACCCAACUGGUACAUCAUAGAUGGUCGAGUCCUAAACUAAAGAACUACCAAAGUACCAUAUAGUACCAUAUCCUAGUUCAAAUCCCAUUAGCCUAAACCAUGACCUACACGUCAAGGUAUAUAACUGAUUUAUAUCCCAGUCAUAGGGGUUCCCACAGGGGCACGAACUAAUUACGUAAAUCCAAAGUUAUGAUGAUCAGGCAAGAUAUUAGUAAGAGUAAAUUGAAUUUUAAAAAGUAAAAUGUUAAUUUGUGUGGUGUGAAAUUGAUGUAACAAACAAUGCGAAGUGCGAAUGUAUAACACAAUACGCGAUAUUUUUGUUACAAUGGCACAUCAAAUCCGCACGGCCACAGUCUCACAAUGACACUAGGUAUCCUUAGAUGUCAGUUUAAUUCUAUGAUAUCAAUUAUUCCAUUAUGAAAUAAUCCUGUAUCGUAAGGGUUGUCAGAUCGAAGGUAGGAAAUGAAACCAUGAGGCUCAGUAGUGCCGAGGUCUUGAAGAACGUCUGACUCCUGAUCGUGCAAUAAUGGGUUCAAAUCUUGGGUUAAAGGGUAAUAAGACAAUAGAUGCAGUCUUUUUUGUGCGUACAUACUGGCUAGAAUUUUAUUCAAACUAGUUCAUUCAGAUAGAAAAUGUACUUGGUUUGUAAGUAUAAGAUCUCUUUCAAACUUACAUGAAAAGUUCCAUACCUCAACAUACAUCAAAAGCAGCCUUACGAUAAGAGGAAAAACGUUUGGCGAUGUCUUCUUAUAGAACGCUGCAGCUGUCUUAUGUCGGGACAAUUCAUGUUAUCAUGCAGUCACCACACUUUGCCAGGAAACAUGGCUAGUUAACAUAAUAAGACUCCAUUUCGAUAAAUUAACAUCUGACUUUGACAUGAUGACAUAGUUUUUUAAUAUAAUAAGUUUUGAUAAGUUAACAUCACGCUCUCAACUGCGGCGUUCCAUAUCUUCUGGUUAUACCAUAUUAAAUAUUUGGUCUAUAUCUUCCUUGUAAACAAUAUACACUUUUCUCUUCACGACCAUGUGUGAAAAGAAGAUAUGCUUUACAUAUAAAAUGUAAAUAUGACAUUCAGAAAUAAGAAAAGAAGUGACCACAUGUGAUAGAAUCUAAAUACUUGCGAAAACCCAUGUAGCAAGUUCAUUUAUCAACUUUAUCAUUUAAAAAAAUUACAGCUAUUUCGCUGAAGAUGCGCAUCUACUACCUUUUUAAAGAUUUUUGAAAUGAAAGGGAGCUUAGACACAGGCUAGUAGGUUUUGAGAUAUUUGGUUGAGAUAUUUGGUUCAGAGGUCUAAUCCUCGCACUCUUAAAUUCUUUUGGUAUAUAACCUUAUUCCAUUGAUGUAUUUAUGAUGUUUGUUAUCAACGCCAAUAGCUCAUCAAGACAUUUUCUUCAAAAGCCAUGAUGGUAAAGGGUCAAGUUCACAGGAUUUGUUUGGAGAUUUUUGUAUGAUUUGUUUUACUUCUUCUGUUGUUGCAGCAGCCAAAUCAACAAGACAUUUUGCUACUUCCUGAUGCUAUGAACAAGAGUCGGCGUCGAUUCAGUGCUUGUAGAUAGCCGUGAAUGUUGAAGAAUCGCAUGUUACUUAGGCGAUUGUUCAGUUUUAGGAAUCAUAUUAAUGAUUUUGGUAAGUAUCAGUCGGUAUGUUUUUUCUAAUUUCUCAAAGAAUUUAUAUAAAAAAGUGUGAACGCUUGACACUACAUUCGUACUCAUUCGUACUCGAAGUGUGUUCGUACUCAAAAUUACUCAAAGGUAAACUUAUUAUUUUUGAAAUUGUGCUCCUGUUUACCAAAUUUUUAAGCAAUAUGAUCAGUUAUUGGUAAUUUUGUAUUUGUAAUAACGAGAGAUAAAAAACAUCAUUUAAAAACCUUCACUACGUGCUUUUUGUAAUGUAGUUUAUAUCUGCCCAGUGGGCUCUGGUUAUGGAUAUUUAAAACAUGUUUACCGUUUCCAAAAACAACAGAAUGGUAAUUAAAAAAUGUACCGGAAAAGUCAUCACGUAUGAAAACAAUACAUUUAGUCGUGGUGUAAUGUUUUUAAUGUAAAAAAUAGCGACAAUACACGUAUGUUUUGUGUAUUAACGUCUGCGGAAGCCCUUGGGAUAUGUUUGUGACCUCGACAUUCGGCCUCAGUCAUAAACAUUCCCGCGGGCUUCUGCAGACGUUAAUACACAAAGAAACGUGUAUUAUCCCUACAUUUAUGUAUGGGCUGCCACUGCACCGUGCAACAUUUUAAUUGAAUAACUAUUUGUUACAACUUCGACUAAUUUCAAGAUUUUUGCCACCCGUACAGUUUGAUUUGUUUGUAAAGAUUUCAUUACGUGGUCAAACUAUGUUUGUGAUUACUCUAGGCAGAACUUGUAAAUUAUUCAAAUGAACUCCUUCAUUGACAUCCCAUACUGACUUAACUCUCUAUCUACCCCCACUUGUACCUCUGUAUGCUAAAAUAUCUAACUGUUUUAAUGUAAAAAAUGUUAAGUUGGCGAACGUAGUGAGCCAAAAAAUAACAAAGAAUAGACAUUCGAACGUAUUUUGAUGAAAUGAAAAAUGCAGACUUUGCCGAAAGAGGGUGGUGCGAUCACCCAUCCAUCGCAACCCUCUGGAUACGCCCUUGUAUUUACUGUGAUGCUAGCACAUCUUAUGAAUAUAAACAUGGAGUAUUAGAUAUUUUUACAGUAGAAAGCUAUGUGCAAUUGUGUUUCCAAUUUCAUAUUAUAUUUACUUUCGUUCUGCAAUCAACUGAAUAGGCACAUAACUAACAAAGUGCAAUGAACCCAGCUAGAAUUCAUUGUAAUAUUUCCAUUAUUUUAAUAUUACAUAUUGCAUUAAUUAGACACCCUCCACACCCACCACACAAACAAAACAAAUGAUGUCACUGAUGAUGGCAUCAAAAUAAAGUAGUUACUUCCAUUUUUACUGUUUGUUUUCAUCAAUAUAAAACAGUUACUUCCCUUUUUUACUGUUUGUUUAUGGAAACGGUUGUAACUGGCAGUUACAACCGUUUUGAAAAAAAAACAGCACUUGGCAAAAAAAAUAGAUUAACACAUACAUCUUCAUAGUUCAAACCUAAUAUUUUACAGGAUCAUGUAGACAUGCAAAAUAGGCUGAAAAGUGUAAAAAGUGGUUUUUGGUAAAAAAAAAAUGUCAGUUACAACUGUUUUGCGCUAAGCCCGUGAUAAAUUAUAUAUCUUCUUACAGAUAUAAAUAUUUAUAUUUUCAUUGGAAUCAGUAUACAUUCGGAAGGUGUUUCUGCCAAUUUUUUUUUCCAGCUUGUUAUGAACAUAUCAUGCGACAUGCAUUUACAACGCGCAGGUGUUAUUCAGUGAAUCUAAGAAAAUAGAAAAUGUAUCUCAACUUAAAGUUUAAUUUAUUCAUAGACAUGUCCCUCUUUGCAAGGAUACAACUGUAUCGUGAUUUUUUAUCACAUGUAUUAUACUUUAUAUCAAUAGCCUAUGUACACUUUGUGCGGUCUCAAAAUAAACAAAUUUAUUAAA